UGACGAGUGCUCCUUUGAGAGGGCAUGUGACCACAUCUGCAUCAACUACCCGGGAAGCUUUGAGUGUGUGUGUCACAAAGGUUACAGUCUCUAUGGCCUCACACACUGUGGUGAUAUUGACGAGUGCAGCAUUAAUAACGGGAGCUGUGAAUACGGCUGCUUGAACACACUGGGCAGUUACGAGUGUGUGUGUCCUCCUGGACAAAAGCUCCACUGGAACAAGAAAGACUGUGUUGAGGCGGUAAAAUGCCUCCCGAAUGGGAAGCCAGCACCUCGCGCUCAGAUCAGCUGCAUCAAGACAGGUGGAGGGGAGGUGUGUUCGCUGUCGUGUCCGUCAAACGCCCUUUUCC